GGUUCUCUGCCGUGUGCGAGGCGGGUCGAUAGCCCCGAUCCAACACGGAGUCCCAGGGAGCCCGUCUCCGACCGUGGAGGGUUCCCGCGUGAUCAGCGUGGGCGACGAAUCGGUCGGGAGGGCACCCACCUACGAGCGUAGGGUUCGGGGGCUAUGAUCCGCACGGCACGGCGGAGAGCAC
rnacentral:other from 1 species